AACGAACGCUGGCGGCAUGCCUAACACAUGCAAGUCGAACGAAGCCUUCGGGUUUAGUUGCGCACGGGUGCGUAACGCGUGGGAAUCUGCCCCUUGCUGUAGAAUAACAGUUAUAAAUUACUGCUAAUACUGGAGGAUGUCUUCGGACCAAAGAUUUAUCGGUAAGGGAUGAGUCCUCGUAGGAUUAGGUAGUUGGUGGGGUAAAGGCCUACCAAGCCGACGAUCCUUAGCUGGUCUGAGAGGAUGAUCCGCCACAAUGGGACUGAGAGACGGACCAGACUGCUACGGGAGGCAGCAGGGGAGAAUCUUGGACAAUGGGGGGAACCCUGAUACAGCAAUGCCACGUGAGUGAUGAAGGCCUUAGGGUUGUAGAGCUCUUUUACCAGGGAUGAUAAUGACAGUACCUGGAGAAUAAGCUCCGGCUAACUCCGUGCCAGCAGCCGCCGUAAUAC
rnacentral:rRNA from 1 species